rnacentral:rRNA from 1 species
CAACGCCGCGUGGGUGAUGAAGGCUUUCGGGUCGUAAAGCCCUUUUCUGUGGGACGAAAAUCUGACGGUACCGCAGGAAGAAGCCACGGCUAACUACGUGC